UUUACUCUUUAGCUUCAGCCUUCUCUUUAUUCCCAAAUCUGACUGAAAUCUCUCCAUCUCGAACCUUUGUGACUCAGUAAGUUGCCGAUCUCUCCAUCUCCAUCUCCAUCUCGAACCUUUGUCUCCGUCCAUCUCAAAGCUUUGUCACUCCAUCUCCCUUCGUAAGUUACCGAUCUCCAUUCGUAAGUCGCCGACUCCAAGUCUCCAACUCCAGAAUCAAAAAAAUUCUUAGGUAAUUUUGAGUUUAUUUUGAGAUUUAGUCAAUUGAUUUAUCUUUAUUUAUGUCGAUUUGUCUAUAUAUGGCAUAUGGGUGUUUAUUGUUUACUUGUUUAGGGCUUUUUUGUUGAUGAUCUGUUUAUUUUGUUGGUGGUUUGUUUAUUUGAUGUAUAUAUUUAUUUAAUUCUUUUUCAGCAUCAUUCCAUUGUCCUCUAGACUCUAGUUAUCAUGUGUGUGCCCCUGCUCAUAAUUUUGAACAAUUGCAAUUUGCAAAGAGAUUAAUAAUAAGGGAAUUUUUGUGUGGAAUCAGAGGCGGAACUGGGGGGCGGGGGGCAUCUGACCCCGGUAGCAGAGGCGGCUCGGCCGAAUUAGGGGGAGCCGGGGGCGGGGAGGGGGCAGCCACUGCCGUCUGCUUGGCUGGAAGUCAUGGCCUUUCGGCGACUUCUUGUCUCCUUCAGCGGCGGGCGGCGGCUCAUCUUCUUCUUUGUUAAGACGUUGACUAUGUACAGUGUACUAAAAGAAGAAAAAAUAUUAUAAGUAUGGAUGCAUGGGAAUCAAUAGUCUUUUUUCUCAUGAAUAUAGGGGAGAUAAUCUUGUAGGAGUAUAAAUAUUACUUGUAAAAAUAACAAUCUCUUGUAAUUAUUAAAGAUAUGAAAACUAAAUUUAAAAAAAGAGACGCGAAAGGUGAGGGACAUUUCACACUUUUGUUUGAGUUGUCCUUUAUAAUAACAUUGUCUUAAAAACACUUUUUUAUACUUGGGUGUAUUUAAUUAUGCAAAACGACUUUAUUUAUAGAUAAUUUAUGCUGAGCCUUUCACUUUUCUUUGUCAUAAUGUUUAUAUAAAAACAAACUUAGCAUGUAUGGGGAAGAUAAAUCAAAUUAGAUAAAAUGGAGCAACAUUUUUGGAUGAACCAAAAAAAUAUCAAAUCUAAGAAAUAUUCAACUCAUGAUUUAUAUCGUAAAACUUUAAAAGUUAGGAUAACGUUAGAAGUUCUAAUUUUUUGGUUUCAAAUUGCGGAAGUUUGACAAUCAUUUUUUUAUAUUGAUAUUUUUAAUAUUUCUACAUAAAAAGUGUCGUUAUAGAUAUAUACAAAAAUGUUUUGAAAAUGAUAUUAAAAUUAUAGUUGUUUCAAAUGCUAGUCAUUUUCAUUUAGUUUCUUAGAUAUGAAAUGUAAUUGCUUACUUGCGUUGCUUUAAAUGGUCUUUCUCACUAAAUUUUAAAUCUUCAUACAAUUUUAUACUAUAAAAUCAGGUAAAUAAUUAUGAAAUUGCGUGAGAAAUUAUUCUAUUUACAUGAGAUUCUCUAUUGCCUCUCAAAUACUUAUAUGUGAGUGAUUAGUAAAUAUCCUUGCAUAUAUACACAAAUGCCACAUUUUACUAAAUUUUAUUUUAUUUUUAUGUAUAGCUGAAAGGAUUCCGUAAUAUACAAUUCAAAAACCAAUCAAGGCAUCAAGGCCAACUUUAAACAUGAAAACUAUGUAAAAGUUAAAUGAUUAUUUUCAUAAAGAAAAUUUAAUAUUUCGACAAGUUUUUACUCAUAUAAAUGUGAAUUUCACUUUUAUUAAUAAAAACCUAUAUGCGGACAUGAUAAUUGGAUAUAAAAAUUAGACAGUUUCACUUAUUUGUAUAACACUCAUGGACAAAUAUCAUGUCCACUGUGAAAUCUUGUCAAAAUACAAAUAGGUAAAUUGUAAAGCACUUAUGUCCAAUUUUCAUGUUCAAUUAUCAUGUCCCCAUAGAGAACUGUGAAAUCUUAUAAAAAUAUCAAGUUUUUUUACGGAAAUAUCAAUUCCCUUAUUAAAUUAGUCUCAAUACUUAAAAGUAUAAGAACAAAAUAUUUUUUUAAAAAAAUAUACAGAUACAACUUACAAGUCUUAUUUUUUUAAGAAAAUAAAUUAUAUUAUUAACGUUUACAGUUUUAGUAACUACUCGCUCAACUGAAAAGUCAAAUUCUGCAUUGGAAAAUGACACUCAGAGCCUACAAAUUUUUGAGGCAAAAAGGUAUUAAGCGCCUAUUCAGGAUCUUCUUAUUUUAAAUGGCUUAUAAGUUAAAAUAUAAGUUGAUUUAUAAGUAAUUUUAUAUUGUGACUUAUAAGUAAAAGUGUUCGGCAUCAAUUUGACUUAUAAGUCAAAAAUUAAGUUAAAACAAGUUAUGAAGGUGUUCGACUCAUAAUGACUUAUAAGUUAAAAUAAUAUAAAGAUUACUAAAAAUGACAUUAGUAAAAAGAAGGGCAAACUAGACAUUAUAUUUGGUCAAACUAACUUAUUUUAAAAUGAGUUAUAAGUUAUUUUAAAAUAAGUCACAAAUAGGUACUUAUUUUUUUUACUUAAAAACCAACUUAUAAGUUAAAAAAUAAGUACUUAUCAAAUACUCAAACUUAUAAAUUGGUUUGACCAACUUAUAAGUCACAACCGAAUACCUCCCAAGUCCCAUUAAAAUUUUAAAAUAUGACAUUAAAAAAAUCCAAGAAAAUAAUGUGGAAUCAAAUAAGUGGUGUGGAUAUAAUAUACAAAUGCUAAAACUGAGGUAGAAAUAUUUAUUAAUAAUAAUCUUAAAAUAAUAAAAAAAAAUUAAAAUAUGUAUAAACUUAAAAUAGUAAGAUAAACAAAUUAUAUCUCAUAACCUAUUAAAAUUUAAUUGACUCGGCCUUCAUCUUCAACCAAAGCAAUCAAUAUCAAUUGCGAAGUCGAAUUAGAUGCAGCCAAAGCAUGGUUGGUUUGUAAAAUCAAAUGAAUCAAUUACCCAACAAAAGCCUUAAAUUGAACCAUGAAUUUCUUCCUCUUUGACUCAUAUUUGAAAAAGAAGAAUUUAAAGAAAAUAUGUAAAAUCAUAAAGAUGAUGAGUUUCUUCAAUUCUCUCUCCUCAUAGUCGAACAAAGUUGCUCUUCAUCUUCUCCCAAGUCAGGCUUCUUCUUCUCAGAGGCGGAACUAGGGCGGCGGGGGCGGGGGCAUCUAACCCCGGUAGCAGAGGCGGCUCAGGCCGAAUUUGGGGGAGCCGGGGCAGCCACUGCCGUCUGGUUGGCUGGAAGUCAUGGCCUUUCGGCGACUUCUUGUCUCCUUCAGCGGCGGGCGGCGGCUCAUCUUCUUCUUUGUUAAGACGUUGACACAGGUUUUUUUUUAGUAACAUGAAACGACGUCGUUUCAUUAAAAAAAAAUCUAAUCUCUUAGGACUUAUCAGGGCCAUCAGGUAGAAUUUGAAAUUAGGGCUCUUUCCCUUCACUCUCUCUGCCGCCGAUUGAAGGACUGCUCCUCUGCCUCUCAGCCUGAUGGCCUCUGUAUAUAUAUUAGAUUAUUGUAAGUAUAUCUAAUAUCUUUAUGUAUUCUGUUAAUCAUUGAUGAAAUAAAUUGUUGAAAUUUUCUUUUUAAAUGGGCGGUGGUUCAUGGUUGUAUUAAAAUUACUUGUUGACAUUUUAUUGAAUAAAGAAUACUAACCUUGGUACAAUUCUUAAGUUCUUACCGAGGUUCCUUAAUAGAUCUUUAUAUUAUUCUUCAUCUAAUUUGAUUACCUUUUUAUUUUUAUUUUUAUUUUUUUUUCUCAAGCAAAUUAUAAAAGUUUGUAUUAUUAUUUAGGGAUCCUAAAAUUAUUAAAUUUUAUGUUUGUUUUGAACUCAUAAUCUUCAAAAAUCUGAUGGGAAAAAAAGUAAAUAUUCUAUUGUUUGAAUACAUAUUAAACUCAAUUGAUGUUAAAAUGCUAACUAAAUAGUUUGAUUGGUAAAACAUGACUGGAUUAGUGGAUUUCACAUUUGAUUCGAUCUGUUUUGGUUCAUUGUUUUUAAUUUUUAUUUUGUAUUUUAUGAAUCUUUCAGUUCCACUUAGUGUGAAACCCGGGAAGCCUGUAUUGGAACCCUUUUAUCAAGACAGUAGGCUGCUUCAUUGCUUCAAUCCUGCUUGGUCCUUCCUUUGAACUUUAGUAAUUUCUAAAUUUUAAUUUAGGUUAUGUUUUUCAAUUGUUAGGUUAAUUGAAAUUAUUAAAUUAGGUUAAUUGAUGAAAUUAUGAUGAAAUGUUUGAAAGAAGCACUUCUAGCGUCAAUAAAUAAAAAUUUUUUACUGAUGUAUUUUGACCCCCUAUGAAAAUGUUUUGGUUCCCUCACUGCUUCUUCUUCAUCUCUAAACAAAACCAAGAUGCGAAAGAAGAAAGUAUCCAAACUUUUGUAUUAUUCUAAUAAAUGUUUUAAUUUUCUAAUUUUCUAUUUUUUUUCUUCUUCUUUUGCCAAGUCAGUAAUGGUUUUCAUUUUUCUCAUUUUAUUUGCACAGACACGUAAAUAAAAUUUGACGCCCGUCCAACAAAUUUACCGAAAUGGUCCAAUUAAUAAUUUUUAAAAAGUUUAGUGUGUUAAUUCCAUUUUUUUUAAGUUUAGUAGGGGUACUGUUUAAAGAGGAAGGAUCAAUAGCACUUCUCUUAUCUAGCAUUCCUUUAUUAAAAUUACAUCGUUUUGGAGAUUUUUUUAAAAAAGCAGUGGGGCCGCGGGUGACAUUUUAUGCACGUGGGACCAUUCUCUUUUAAGAAUCUCCAAAACUAGUAAUUUUAAUAAAUAAGUGUUAUUUAAGGAGGAGUGCUAGAUUUAGAGUGAUCCUUGUGGACAACUAAUUACCCCUUUUUGCCGACUGUAAUAUAUAUGUUCUUCACAGCCGAUAAAAGAAAGGAAAUUUAUUCAUUUUGAUAUCAUUCGCCAAUCAGCACCAGCGACUAAGAGGGGUAAUUUCGUCUUUUAAAAAAUCCACCAGUCCCGAAAGGCAAAAGGUUCUUCAAGUUUGCUAGAUCAUUUCAUCUCUGUGCUGGGACUUUGGUGAAGAAGCGGCCGUCGUUGAGAAAAAAACAUCGAGGUACAAUCCAAGAGAUGGAGAGUUUCCAUACUUGACAAAUUUAUGUUAUGUUGAUCUAGAUUAGGUUUAUAGUUUGGCGCUGCAUUCAUUUGUUCUUGAUGAGACAUAUGCUUGAUGUUGUUUAUUGUAUGGCUGUAUAUAUGUUUAUGUAUAUAUUUCCCUGACGUCUCUUUGUUAAUUUUCCUUAAUGAUACUGUAUGUGAAACUUCGCAGCUUUUUUCCCUUGCAAAGUGAAAUAAUUUGUUGUUAAUUGCUUAUAAUUUCUUCUUCGCGUUUUUAUAAUAUGCAGAUGCUUUAUGUAACAGUAAUAUUGUACAUAUACAACAUGUUUCCCUGCAGCUUUUUUGUCCCUCUUAUAAGACUUACUGUUUUUUUUUUAUUUUAAAAAUUGAUUUUCAUGUCGUCCUUGCAGAAGGCUGCAUUUGUAAAAUGGUGAGUGAGUGUCUUGAAUGAUGCUCUGAAGACAUACAAAGCACGACUAAUUUCUUUACUUUAUUCAUUCUCUAUUUCAAGUCUUCUCGACUCCUAUUUGAUUGUAAAUUCUGAUUUUCAG
rnacentral:lncRNA from 1 species